GACGUAGGGUGCGAGCGUUGUCCGGAAUCACUGGGCGUAAAGGGCGCGUAGGCGGCCUGGCAAGUCGAUGGUGAAAGCCCGAGGCUCAACUUCGGGUCGGCCACUGAUACUGCUGGGCUUGAGUCGACUAGAGGCAGAUGGAAUUCCGGGUGUAGCGGUGGAAUGCGUAGAGAUCCGGAAGAACACCGGUGGCGAAGGCGGUCUGCUGGGGUCGAACUGACGCUGAGGCGCGACAGCGUGGGGAGCAAACAGG
rnacentral:rRNA from 1 species